CCUACGGGAGGCAGCAGUGAGGAAUAUUGGUCAAUGGACGAGAGUCUGAACCAGCCAAGUAGCGUGAAGGAUGACUGCCCUAUGGGUUGUAAACUUCUUUUAUAUGGGAAUAAAACGUUCCACGUGUGGGAUUUUGUAUGUACCAUAUGAAUAAGGAUCGGCUAACUCCGUGCCAGCAGCCGCGGUAAUACGGAGGAUCCGAGCGUUAUCCGGAUUUAUUGGGUUUAAAGGGAGCGUAGGUGGAUUGUUAAGUAAGUUGUGAAAGUUUGCGGCUCAACCGUAAAAUUGCAGUUGAAACUGGCAGUCUUGAGUACAGUAGAGGUGGGCGGAAGUCGUGGUGUAGCGGUGAAAUGCUUAGAUAUCACGAAGAACUCCGAUUGCGAAGGCAGUUCACUGGACUGCAACUGACACUGAGGCUCGAAAGUGUGGGUAUCAAACAGGAUUAGAUACCCCUGUAGUC
rnacentral:rRNA from 1 species